AGCAUCGGAUUAUUGGGCGUAAGAGCUCGUAGGCGGUUUCUUGCGUCUGCUGUGAAAUCCCGAGGCUCAACCUCGGGCCUGCAGUGGGUACGGGCAGACUAGAGUGCGGUAGGGGAGAUUGGAAUUCCUGGUGUAGCGGUGGAAUGCGCAGAUAUCAGGAGGAACACCGAUGGCGAAGGCAGAUCUCUGGGCCGUAACUGACGCUGAGGAGCGAAAGGGUGGGGAGCAAACAGGCUUAGAUACCCUGGUAGUCCACCCCGUAAACGUUGGGAACUAGUUGUGGGGUCCAUUCCACGGAUUCCGUGACGCAGCUAACGCAUUAAGUUCCCCGCCUGGGGAGUACGGCCGCAAGGCUAAAACUCAAAGGAAUUGACGGGGACCCGCACAAGCGGCGGAGCAUGCGGAUUAAUUCGAUGCAACGCGAAAAACCUUACCAAGGCUUGACAUAUACGACAACGGGCCAGAAAUGGUCAACUCUUUGGACACUCAUAAACAGGUGGUGCAUGGUUGUCGUCAGCUCGUGUCGUGAGAUGUUGGGUUAAGUCCCGCAACGAGCGCAACCCUCGUUCUAUGUUGCCAGCACGUAAUGGUGGGAACUCAUGGGAUACUGCCGGGGUCAACUCGGAGGAGUGUGGGUAUGACGUCAAAUCAUCAUGCCCCCUAUAUGUCUUGGCGCUUCACGCGUGCUACAAUGGGCCCGGGUACA
rnacentral:rRNA from 2 species